GACACUGACCUUCAGCGCCUCGGCUCCAAUGCCAUGGCGCCCUCUAGGAAGCUCUUCGUGGGUAGCAGGGUGGAGAACUGGAAGAUGAACAGGCAGAAGAGUCUGGGGGAGCUCAUCCACACUCUGAACGCGGCCAAGGUGUCCACUGACACCGAGUCGUUUGGGCUCCCCCUACUGCCUAUAUCGACUUUGCCCGGCAGAAGCUACAUCCCAAGAUUGCUGUGGCUGUGUGGAACUGCUACAAAGUGACUAACGGGGCCUUUACUGGGAGAUCAGCCCUGGCAUGAUCAAAAACUGCAGAGCCACGUGGGUGGUCCUGGGGCACUCGGAGAGAAGGCAUGUCUUUGGGUAGUCAGAUGAGCUGAUUGGGCAGAAAGUGGUCCAUCCUCUGGCAGAGGGACUCAGAGUAAUUGCCUGCAUUGGGGAGAAGUUAGAUGAAAGGGAAGCUGGCAUCACUAAGAAGGUUGCUUUUGAGCAGACAAAGGUCAUCGCAGAUCACAUGAAGGACUGGAACUAGGUCGUCCUGGCCUGUGAGCCUGUGUGGGCCAUUGGUACCGGCAAGACUGCAACACCCCAACAGGCCCAGGAAGUACAGGAGAAGCUCAAGGAUGGCUUAAGUCCAAAGUCUCUGAUGCAGUAGCUGCGAGCACCUGUAUCAUUUAUGGAGGCUGUAUGACUGGGGCAAUCGGCAAGGAGCUGGCCAGCCAGCCUGAUGUGGAUGGCUUCCUCGUGGGUGGUGCUUCCCUCAAGCCCAAAUUCGUGAACAUCAUCAAUGCCAAACAAUGAGCCCCAUCCAUCUUUCUUACCCUUCCUGCCAAACCAAGGGACUAAGCAGCCCAGAAGCACAGUAACUGCUCGUCCCCUGCACAUGCUUCUGAUGGUGUCAUCUGCCCCCUCUUGUGGCCUCAUCCAAACUGAACCUUUACUGUUUAUAUCUUCACCCUGUAAUGGUUGGGACCAGGCCAAUCCCUUCUCCACUUACUAUAAUGGUUGAAACUAAACGUUACCAAGGUGGCAUCUCCUUGGCUGAGAGGUGUAAGGGAUGGAAUCUGCUCCUGGGUCCCCUAGACCCUCUUGAGGGCAGGAGAGAAAAUAUCCUCUCCCUUCUUAUACCAUGAGGCCAAGCACCUCCCCUGAGAAGCCAGGAAUACUGCCCUCUCCCACGGUCCCCAUGCCUGUGUGUGCUGUGUAUAUGAACCACCCACAUGUAAAGGAAUAAACACCUGGCACU